GAUGAACGCUGGCGGCGUGCUUAACACAUGCAAGUCGAACGAAACACCUUCUUUGAUUUUCUUCGCAACUGACGAUUUGGUGAUUGAGUGGCGGACGGGUGAGUAACGCGUGUGUAAUCUGCCCUGUACAGGGGGAUAACAGUCAGAAAUGACUGCUAAUUCCGCAUAAGACCACAGCACCUCUUGGUGCAGGGGUAAAAACUCCGGUGGUAUGGGAUGGAGCCGCGGCUGAUUAGCUGGUUGGUGAGUUUACGGCUCACCAGGGCGACGAUCGGUAGCCGGCGGGAGAGAGGGAACAGCCAGAAUGGGAAUGAGACACGGCCCAAACUGGUACGGGAGGGAGGAGAGGGGAAUAAAGCGGAAGGGGGGAAACCCUGAUACAGCGACGCCGGGUGAGUGAAGAAGUAGUUCGGAAUGUAAAGCUCUAUCAGCAGGGAAGAGAGUGACGGUAACUGACAAAGAAGCCCCGGCUAACUACGUG
rnacentral:rRNA from 1 species